rnacentral:rRNA from 1 species
UAUGAACGCUGGCGGCGUGCCUAACACAUGCAAGUCGAACGAAGCACCUUGAUUUCCUCGGAUUGAUAGGUGACUGAGUGGCGGACGGGUGAGUAACGCGUGGGUAACCUGCCUCAUACAGGGGGAUAACAGUUAGAAAUGACUGCUAAUACCGCAUAAGCGCACAGUACCGCAUGGUACAGUGUGAAAACUCCGGUGGUAUGAGAUGGACCCGCGUCUGAUUAGCUAGUUGGUAAGGUAACGGCUUACCAAGGCGACGAUCAGUAGCCGGCCUGAGAGGGUGAUCGGCCACAUUGGGACUGAGACACGGCCCAA